rnacentral:other from 1 species
UCAAUCCUGCCGUGUGCGUGAUGGGCUUCAGUCGUUGAGCCAACGCAUUCAUUAAGGGGAUCGAAGAUACGUUGAGGAUAUGUAGUAGCCGCGGCCAGGCAGACUCUUCACGAAAAGAUUCCCACCUGCUUUGAGCAGGUUCAAACCACGAGGCUCACACGGCACGGCGGGCAAUGA